UUCUGGAAGGGUUCUUCUGAGACAGUCAGUGCUCAUCCUCUUGCCCUGUGCUACUGAAUCUGGUGACCAAGGGGGAGUCCAUGAUGCUCAGCUGGAGGCCAUAUGUAUGAGGCCAUAGCAGGGGACAGGUGGUCAUCUGUGAGUCCUAAACUAGCUGCAAGAAACCUGUCAGUUUUGUUUGAAGCAUGAGAGCAGGUGACGUAAAUCUGAUGUAUUUAUUGGUUACAAAAUGAGUAGGCAUAGGUUUACCAACAAAACAGAUCCUUUCGUAAUGUUGGAAUAAUUGCUUUGCAUAAGUUUUCAGGGAAGUUGAAACAUAUAAAAUCACCCACUGGAGAUUCAUUUGUUUUGAAAAAAGUAGCCAUCUGGGAAGUGUUUAAUAAGGUAACUAAUUAAAUGGGUUGAUAAGGAAUUUAACAAUACCCUUUGCACUUCAUUUAUGUGAUGACUCUUUGAGAUUGCAGUUAGGUACAUUCUACAUCACUAGAUCUAAUCCAUGAUCUGAUUGGACAACAUGAGAAAUAACUUUGUGUUGCCUAUGAUUAGAGCUAAUGAGAGAAAGUAACCUGGGACUUCAUUAAAGUUGCUCUGCCAGAGAAGACACUCUGUAAACAGAAGGCAAGGAAGCUUUUUGGGAAAAUGCCACCUCCAGAAGUAGGUGAAUUAGCAGUCAGGCCAACAGUAGCCUGAACUGGGUGCUUCAGGAGCACAGUACGAAUAUGGUGAGAGUGCAGUUCUCAAUUUCUGCAAUUCUCUCUGAGCCUCCAGCUGUACCAGAACUGCAUGGGCCAGAUGGACUGGAGCAAUCAAAAGGAGUUCAACAUGACUUGAUGCUCUCAUCUGUUGCUACUCAAGGAAAAUAUGACUUUCCACCCCUGUGCCCACAAGCAACAAAAAUCUUGUCUCUGGUGUUACACAGUGAUGUCUUUUUAUGCCAGGCAUAUAGUGGAUGAAAGGAAAGAAAAAAAAAAAAAAAAAAAAGCAAUAUCUCCUUUAACUUCUUGAAGGGUCUAUGUUAACAUAUGCUGAAUGUAUUAAAUACACUUUAAAAGCCUCAGGUGAGCAACACUCCUUUUAGGGAAAUUCCUUCAAUCUAUAACACCAUCAGAAAAUGGGAGAUAUCACCUGGCAGCAGCCGUGAAACUGCUCUUUCAAGAGAGAUCUAGAUAUUCUAGUGAUCACACAAUUCACUUCAGAAACUAACACUGAACAUUAGAAAAUGAACUGCAUCAGACAAAACUCACCAGGGAUGAGGAAAAAGACAACUAUCCAUUAAUUUAUUGGAAAAUUUAUUGGAAAGGUAGAGGUUUUUUUUGUUGUUUGUUUGUUUGUUUCUUUAAUCUUUUUUUUAUUGUUCUGUGAUAAAGAAUUAAAGUGGUCAUAUUGUCACUACCAAGGAUUAUCUUCCACAGUACAAAAGCUGAGGUGUUGCAUAUUUCAGUCAUUGUUCAUUUU